rnacentral:rRNA from 1 species
UUCCGGUUGAUCCUGCCGGAUCCUACUGCUUUCGGGAUGAGACUAAAACAUGCUAGUUGUGCGCACCCUAGCUAUGUUGGGAGCGCAGCGAACGGCUCUGUAACACGUUGUCAAUCUGACCUUAGGAUAGGAAUAACCCCGGGAAACUGGGGCUAAUACUGAUAGGCGAAAAAAUCUGGAAUGAUUUUUCACUCAAAGAGUUAUAGAAACAUGCUUCUUUAACUGCCUAAGGAUGAGACUGCGUCCGAUCAGGUUGUUGGUGGGGUGAUGGCCUACCAAGCCUAUAACCGGUACGGGCCCUGAGAGGGGGAGCCCGGAGAUGGGAACUGAGACAAGGUCCCAGACCCUACGGGGUGCAGCAGUUGCGAAACCUCUACAAUGCACGAAAGUGUGAUAGGGUUAUCCCGAGUGCCGUCCGAUGAGGAUGGCUUUUACCUGGUGUAAGGAGCCAGGAGAAUAAAGGGGGGGCAAGACUGGUGUCAGCCGCCGCGGUAAUACCAGCCCCCUGAGUGGUAGGGAUGAUUAUUUGGCCUAAAACGUCCGUAGCCGGCUCAGCAAGUCUUUCGUUAAAUCCGGUGACUUAAUCAUCGGGCCGCGAGAGAUACUACUAGGCUUGAGGGCGGGAGAGGUCGACGGUAUUCCGGGGGUAGGGGUAAAAUCCUAUAAUCCUCGGAGGACCACCAGUGGCGAAGGCGGUCGACUAGAACGUGCCUGACGGUGAUGGACGAAAGCUGGGGGAGCAAACCGGAUUAGACACCCGGGUAGUCCCAGCUGUAAACGAUGCGGGCUAGGUGUUGGGGCAGCUACGAGCUGCUCCAGUGCCGCAGAGAAGUCAUUAAGCCCGCUGCCUGGGAAGUACGGUCGCAAGACUGAAACUUAAAGGAAUUGGCGGGGGAGCACCACAAGGGGUGAAGCCUGCGGUUCAAUUGGAAUCAACGCCGG